rnacentral:rRNA from 1 species
GACAGAGGGUGCGAACGUUGUUCGGAAUUACUGGGCGUAAAGCGCAUGUAGGCGGCAGCGCAAGUCGGGCGUGAAAUCCCACGGCUCAACCGUGGAAGUGCACUCGAAACUGCGCAGCUAGAGUCCUGGAGAGGAAGGUGGAAUGCUUGGUGUAGAGGUGAAAUGCGUAGAUAUCUGGAGGAACACCGGUGGCGAAGGCGGCAUUCUGGACCGACAUUGACGCUGAGGCGCGAAAGCCAGGGGAGCAAACGGG